GCUUGCACCUUAUCUUAGCGGCGGACGGGUGAGUAAUGCUUAGGAAUCUGCCUAUUAGUGGGGGACAACAUUCCGAAAGGAAUGCUAAUACCGCAUACGUCCUACGGGAGAAAGCAGGGGAUCUUCGGACCUUGCGCUAAUAGAUGAGCCUAAGUCGGAUUAGCUAGUUGGUGGGGUAAAGGCCUACCAAGGCGACGAUCUGUAGCGGGUCUGAGAGGAUGAUCCGCCACACUGGGACUGAGACACGGCCCAGACUCCUACGGGAGGCAGCAGUGGGGAAUAUUGGACAAUGGGGGGAACCCUGAUCCAGCCAUGCCGCGUGUGUGAAGAAGGCCUUAUGGUUGUAAAGCACUUUAAGCGAGGAGGAGGCUACUGAGACUAAUACUCUUGGAUAGUGGACGUUACUCGCAGAAUAAGCACCGGCUAACUCUGUGCCAGCAGCCGCGGUAAUACAGAGGGUGCGAGCGUUAAUCGGAUUUACUGGGCGUAAAGCGUGCGUAGGCGGCUUUUUAAGUCGGAUGUGAAAUCCCCGAGCUUAACUUGGGAAUUGCAUUCGAUACUGGGAAGCUAGAGUAUGGGAGAGGAUGGUAGAAUUCCAGGUGUAGCGGUGAAAUGCGUAGAGAUCUGGAGGAAUA
rnacentral:rRNA from 1 species